rnacentral:rRNA from 1 species
UACGAAGGGGGCUAGCGUUGUUCGGAAUUACUGGGCGUAAAGCGCGCGCAGGCGGUUUUCCAAGUCAGUGGUGAAAGCCCGGAGCUCAACUCCGGAAUUGCCAUUGAAACUGCAAAACUUGAGUACGAGAGAGGUGAGUGGAAUUCCCAGUGUAGAGGUGAAAUUCGUAGAUAUUGGGAAGAACACCGGUGGCGAAGGCGGCUCACUGGCCCGGUACUGACGCUGAGGCGCGAAAGCGUGGGGAGCAAACAGG